rnacentral:rRNA from 1 species
AACGAACGCUGGCGGCAUGCCUAACACAUGCAAGUCGAACGAGACCUUCGGGUCUAGUGGCGCACGGGUGCGUAACGCGUGGGAACCUGCCCUUAGGUUCGGAAUAACUCCCCGAAAGGGGUGCUAAUACCGGAUAAUGUCUUCGGACCAAAGAUUUAUCGCCUUUGGAUGUGCCCGCGUUGGAUUAGCUAGUUGGUAGGGUAAAAGCCUACCAAGGCGACGAUCCAUAGCUGGUCUGAGAGGAUGAUCAGCCACACUGGGACUGAGACACGGCCCAGACUCCUACGGGAGGCAGCAGUGGGGAAUAUUGGACCAUGGGCGAAAGCCUGAUCCAGCAAUGCCGCGUGAGUGAUGAAGGCCUUAGGGUUGUAAAGCUCUUUUAACCGGGAUGAUAAUGACAGUACCGGGAGAAUAAGCUCCGGCUAACUCCGUG